UUUUGUGUUUUUUUUUUUAAUUUAUGUGAAAAAAAAUUAAACUAUAAAUAAUAUGAAACAGAGAGAUAUAAAUUAAGUAGGAUUCUCCAGAAGCUGACAUGUAGCAACAAGGAGUUACACAUGUCCUUAUUUUCUCUCACCAUCUCUUUUUCUUUACUUCUUUCCAAAUUCAUCAUUUUCCAAAAAA
rnacentral:sRNA from 1 species